rnacentral:rRNA from 1 species
GAUGAACGCUGGCGGCGUGCCUAAUACAUGCAAGUCGAGCGAACAGACGAGGAGCUUGCUCCUCUGACGUUAGCGGCGGACGGGUGAGUAACACGUGGAUAACCUACCUAUAAGACUGGGAUAACUUCGGGAAACCGGAGCUAAUACCGGAUAACAUGUUGAACCGCAUGGUUCAACAGUGAAAGACGGUCUUGCUGUCACUUAUAGAUGGAUCCGCGCCGCAUUAGCUAGUUGGUAAGGUAACGGCUUACCAAGGCAACGAUGCGUAGCCGACCUGAGAGGGUGAUCGGCCACACUGGAACUGAGACACGGUCCAGACUCCUACGGGAGGCAGCAGUAGGGAAUCUUCCGCAAUGGGCGAAAGCCUGACGGAGCAACGCCGCGUGAGUGAAGAAGGUCUUCGGAUCGUAAAACUCUGUUAUUAGGGAAGAACAAAAGUGUAAGUAACUAUGCACGUCUUGACGGUACCUAAACAGAAAGCCACGGCUAACUACGUG